AGGGUUAUAGUUAAAUAUAACAUUUGAUUUGCAUUCAAAAAGUAUUGAUAAUAAUAUCAAUUUUCCUUU
rnacentral:tRNA from 1 species